UGUCAGUCAAACAACCAGAAAGAUUUCAACAACAUUUUAAUUCAGCAGAAACUACAGAAACGAAAUCAGUUCUUCCUCCUGUGAACGUGGUCUUCACUCAGAACAUCGAUAUCAUGACAGAGAACAGUCUGAACAACUGCAGCAGUCUGCAACAGUCAGGAACAGUCAGGAACAGUCUGCAACGGUCAGGAACAGUCAGGAACGGUCAGAAACAGUCAGGAACUGUCAGGAACGGUCAGGAACAGUCUGCAACAGUCAGGAACAGUCAGGAACAGUCAGGAACAGUCAGAAACGGUCAGAAACAGUCAGGAACAGUCAGGAACGGUCAGGAACAGUCAGAAACAGUCAGGAACAGUCUGCAACAGUCAGGAACAGUCUGCAACAGUCAGGAACAGUCAGGAACAGUCAGGAACAGUCAGAAACAGUCAGGUCAAACAGUCAGAAACAGUCAGAAACAGUCAGAAACAGUCCGAAACAGUCAGGAACAGUCAGGAACAGUCAGGUCAAACAGUCAGAAACAGUCAGAAACAGUCAGAAACAGUCAGGAACAGUCUGCAACAGUCAGAAACAGUCAGGAACAGUCUGAACAACUGCAGCAGUCAGGAACAGUCAGAAACAGUCAGGAACAGUCAGAAACGGUCAGAAACAGUCAGGAACAGUCAGGAACGGUCAGGAACAGUCUGCAACAGUCAGGAACAGUCAGAAACAGUCAGGAACGGUCAGGAACAGUCUGCAACAGUCAGGAACAGUCUGCAACAGUCAGGAACAGUCAGGAACAGUCAGGAACAGUCAGAAACAGUCAGGUCAAACAGUCAGAAACAGUCAGAAACAGUCAGAAACAGUCAGGAACAGUCAGGAACAGUCAGGUCAAACAGUCAGAAACAGUCAGAAACAGUCAGGAACAGUCUGCAACAGUCAGGAACAGUCAGGAACAAUCAGGAACAGUCAGAAACAGUCAGGUCAAACAGUCAGAAACAGUCCGAAACAGUCCGAAACAGUCAGAAACAGUCAGGAACA
rnacentral:lncRNA from 1 species